CCCUGCAGCCAGGGAUUUUGGGUAAUAACCCGCCUUACCCCAUAAUCACACAGUAUACAUAGCACCCCCUGCAGCCAGGGAUUCUAGGUAAUAAUCCGCCUUACCCCGUAACCACACAGUAUACAGAGCUCCUCCUGCAGCCAGGGAUUCUGGGUAAUAACCCGCCUUACCCCAUAUUUACUCAGUAUACAGAAAUCCCCCUGCAGCCAGGGAUUCUGGGUAAUAAUCCGCCUUACCCCAUAAUCACUCAGUAUACAGAGCGACCCCUGCAGCCAGGGAUUCUGGGUAAUGACCCGUCUUAUCCCAUAAUUGGUACAUGGAGCUCCUACUAAUGUCAGGUAUCUUGUCUGCCUUACAGUAAGAUGUAUUUCCUUUUUUUUAUUUUUAGGGAAGAGAUGCGAUGGAAUGGGUAAUUGGCAAAUUAAACAAUGAAUUAGAGGACCUGAAAGCAUCGACCAGAGCAAGCAUGAGAACGUCUAUGGCUGCCGCUGCCUUUGUAGAGGAAUGAUGUUGGGAGUGUGUGGUACCAGUAGGUUAUGUUAGAUGUUUAUACUUUGGAGCUGUAGCUCCACUCCACGCCAUUAUUAUUUAUUCUUAUUUAAGAAUUUAUCUGUAUUAAGUAGGUUUUCUAAUUGAAAUGUGGAGGGGAGCUACAGCCUUUUGGGAACAAUUAAGGGGAAUGUAUUGUCGCCCCAGUUCUACGGAGGGGACUGAAUGCAACUUCAAACGUGCCGCAUGGCAGCUUCAACUCGGACCUCGGAUUAAUAAACAGCUUUGUGGUACCUACGACAGUGUAGAGCGCGUCCUCCAUAGCGUAAUUCUACCGUUAAUGUUAUGGGACCAAGCGUCAUUUCUUGCAGCAUCACACUCUGGUCUUGCUUCUGGAAGUGAUAUCCCCCGUAAGGCCCAUAUAAAAUACUAGAUGUGUUCCAAUUCCUGACGCUUUUCUUUAGCCUCAAUUUCUGGCCUUCAGAAACCACUUGCAAAUAGCGUGGCACUGCAUCUCCAUUUAGUCCGUAAAUUCUGAUAGUUUUACUGUGACUGCCAGUAAUUCCUACUUGUUGGAUGCUACACUUUAGGAAACUGUUAGUAGUAAUAUGUUUGUUACUAUCUGGUAUCAGAGUAUUAUUGGGUAUAGCUGGGUGAGGACACAGUGCUGACCUUUUCGAGGUAAAUGUUAAAAUGAGUCAAUCUCGAAUGCAAACUUUGGAACAAAUAAUACUUGAGUCUCUGUAAAAUUGCUCAAAUGUUAGCGUCAGCAAGACUUGGCGCUAAGUCAACUCUGAAAGAAUGGCGCGUAGCCAUGUUUAACGUGGAACACGCAGGGUGAUGGUCAUAUGGCACAUAAUGGCAAUGAGCUCUAAAACUGGAGCAAUAUGCAGGAACUUUCUGGUAAUUUCCAUAAUGCUCUUUCUGUUUUUAGCUCCUGACACUUCAUCAAAAAAAAUAUAAGUGAUGGCUGGAGAGUGAAAAUAUAUUUAUAGCACAAACGUGAAAUGAAUGUGUUCGGCAAUUUUUUUUAAAUUUUUUUUUAAUAUGAAUUUUGUGAUUUGCGCUCGUCACAAAAUGUAUGCCUUUCUAAGAUUUUGUUCUUUUGUAACAAAUGAAACGAUCUUUGUUUUCAAAUCUUUGCUCUGUGCUGUCCCUGGGUAUUUUCCCAAAACUGUUGGAAAACUGAUUAUUUUUCUAAAUUGGUUCCCUGCUGGUUACAAAGGUUUCCUCUUCAGUUAGCAUUAUUCAGAACUGCUGAAUAUGUUGCAGCAAGCGCAUGGUUCUAUUCUCCAGAGUAGGAUUUCUUAGCUAUAACAAAGCAAUUUGCACAUUUCAAGCUAAAGCAACCAAACGGGGGAAAAAUUUAAUAUUCAGAAAAAAAGAUUUUUGGCUUAAAAUUUCUCAUGCUGUUUUUGUUGCCCGUUGCCCUGGGAAUUCAGUUUGUCAUGUCCCACAAUUCUCGAUUUUUGCAGUGCUUCCUAAAACAGUCCUCAUUCAGCUCCGUUGAAAAGAACUGGUUAAUCCCAAAUUCCUGUCCUAUCAAGAGGCGUGAGGACUGUUAUGUGAAGCAGUGACUCUCUAAACGCCACGUUGUAGCAAAUUAUAAUCAGAACUGGAAAGUGCAAGAUAAAUUAACCAAGCAGUGACUGUAGUGUUGUAGAAUCGUUACAAAUCUUGGUGGCCUACAUAUUUGCUACAAUUUGGAGUUAAGGUAAUAAAUCCCCUUAUUGAAUGUCUCUCUCUGACUAUAGAGUCUCUGCAGCUCUCGUAUUAAGCACUUGUUCCCUCUUGAAAAUGAACAACUUAAUUUGACGUCAAAUUUCAGAAGUAAAACCUGGCCUUUAAUGUAGAAUAUAAAAAGUUAAUGUGACUUUUGUAAAGUUUGCACUCCAGAGUUUAUUUUUUUAUGUUAUUGCUCUUAUUAAUGGGUGCCAUUUUAUUAAACUAUUCCAGAAUAUGGAAAUCUAACAACUGUCUGUUUUAUUUAUUUCUGUCUCUUGUUUUGUGAGAUCCAUAAUUGGUACAUACGAAUUGAUCUGUCACAUGUAAUACACAUUUGCCUUCAGUUACAGUGUGUGAACAAUAGCAAGUUUUAGCCUUAAUUGGUUGGUGAUGUCAGUGAAGUAGGAAAUUGGG